ACCUCUGUGCCCAGCUCAGCGGGGAGGGAGAGGUCAUAAGCAAGGGGUCCGCAGCAUUGGCUGGCUCGCACCUGCUGCAGUAGGCGUGAAAGGGUGACAUCGAAAGGGUCUGUGCUGUGAGUCGGGCCCCUGGAAGGGCAGCUGUGGGGAGAAUCCAUCGCUGGACCUUUAAGGGCCUAUCGCUGCUGGUGGAGUGUCCUGCUCGUUAACCUGGACUCCCCCUUCCUUUCAGUGAAGAGCAACUGAGGCAGCAGCGGCAGAGCUGGCCAGACUUGCGCAACCUUCACAUGCAGGAACAAACGAGCCAUUCCCAGGAAGGCUCUGGAAGGGUUUUGGCUGCGAGAAGGCAGAGCACAGAGCAUACGGAUGAGGUGAGACUGGGGUGGUGGUGGGGUAUGAAUUCCCUGCCCUUGGAAGGGAUUUCACUUACCUACCUACUGUAUUCUCCCUUGCCCCCAUUGACUUUAGGGCCAAAUCCUGCUCCCAUUAAAACAGAUG
rnacentral:lncRNA from 1 species